CCUACGGGUGGCAGCAGUGGGGAAUAUUGCGCAAUGGGCGAAAGCCUGACGCAGCGACGCCGCGUGAGGGAUGAAGGUCUUCGGAUCGUAAACCUCUGUCAGCAGGGAAGAACGGUCACUGUGCUAAUCAGCAGUGAAUUGACGGUACCUGCAAAGGAAGCACCGGCUAACUCCGUGCCAGCAGCCGCGGUAAUACGGAGGGUGCGAGCGUUAAUCGGAAUUACUGGGCGUAAAGCGCUCGUAGGCGGUAUGUCAAGUCAAGGGUGAAAUCCCCGCGCUCAACGUGGGAACUGCCUUUGAAACUGGCAAACUGGAGUGUGUGAGAGGAUAGUGGAAUUCCAGGUGUAGGAGUGAAAUGCGUAGAGAUCUGGAGGAACAUCAGUGGCGAAGGCGACUAUCUGGCACAUAACUGACGCUGAGGAGCGAAAGCGUGGGUAGCAAACAGGAUUAGAUACCCGGGUAGUC
rnacentral:rRNA from 1 species